UGUUUCUCCACAUACAUAGAGAUAAAGAGGUCCCAGUUACAAGGUGGGAGAACCUGGAACAAGAACAGAGUCCAUAACUCUUCUCAGAAGAGGAACCAAAUCAAUCAGCCUGGAAUUCAAAGCCUUCUCCAGCAGAGUCAAGAGACCUAUUAAGAAAGGGAGUCCCUCUGCCUGUGGCAUUGUCCACAUUUACAGGGUUACACUCUUAUUUGUUCCUACAGAGUAAAAUGAUGCCAGAAAUACC